UUUUUUAUUUUGUAUAUCGUUGUUAAAAAAAUAUUUUUUAAUAAUAAUAAUAUUUAAAAAUUUUGAUUAAAAAUUAAAUCAGAUCAAGAUGCAGAUUAUAGUUAAGAAUAUAAUGGAUUACAAUAAAUUUAUUUAGAUGAAUAUUAAUUUGUAAAAGUUAAUUGAAGGUGGAUUUAAAUGUAAUUUUAUUUAGUUUAAUAAAAUGAUUGAAAAUUGAAAUAUGUACAC
rnacentral:rRNA from 1 species